rnacentral:lncRNA from 1 species
CUGCUGGGGACUAAUAUGGAGGCGCCAAAGGGAUUUCAAAAAAAUAAGAUUUAUAUUGUGGCUCAGAAGCAUCCACUAUGGUCAAACCUGACUCAUUCUUCUUCUUUCUGUGAAAAGAAGCUUACAGUGAAUGUGGACCCAAGUGACAAACAAGACUUGACAGAUCAUCAGUCUGUACCCUGAAUAGAUUUUUUUUCCGUAUGAUAAUCCUGCAAAGUCUAGUGCAAGCCUGGUGUCCUGGUGUUAGAGGGACAGAAAUGUUAGAAUUGAGGGAAAAACAAAUCUGUCGUUGUUGAAGGAACAUCACUAGGAUCUCAAACCCAGAACCCACAGCUUGGGGAGGAGACGAUAGGAAUUUUAAAAUAACUCGCUGAAUAUUUUUAAAAGGAUUUUAGGAGUAAAAACUUAGAGUAGGUGUGUGGCCAUUCUACAUUUAGCCUAAAAAUUCGUAAAGAAAUAGGAAAAAGUGAAUCAUAGAAAGAAGCCAGAAGAAAUUGAUCUCAAAUUCAUCUCUAGGAUCACCUGAGGACCAGUGUCAUAGACAUCUUCCUUAUUUAAAUCGUCCUGGAGAGCAAGUCACACAAACUCCUUCAGUUGCUCCCUGCAAUAUUGAGCGACUAUUACUGUCAGAAAGUUCUUCCUUAUGUGUAACCUCAUGUCUCAUGGUGCGUGUUAAAAACCAUUCUCUCUUGCAUAGUUUUCACUGGAGAUAAAAUCAGCUAGAUCCCAACCUCCAUGGGAUAAGGAGAAAGAACUGAAGAGAAAACAAAGUUUAAAUGAUGUUGCGAGUACAUUUCGAUUAAGUGUGAACUUACUCAAAGCAUUCUUGGUAACAUCCUUGAUGAUGGAUUUAGACCAUAGGAUUUGCUAUGUCUCAAGACAGAGCUGGGUGUCUGACCACCACUUCACGGACUUGUGUAUAAGCCAGCAACCUCAAAGGCUGUGCAAUGGAGAGGCCUCCAUGGCAAUGAAUGCCGGCAGGCUCAAGGAGCUGAGAGCAGACUCUGCUGACAACCAGCCAGAAGAUGGGAGCCUCUGUCUUAGGACUGCAAGGAACUGAAUUCGGCCAACUGACCAGGAAGAAAAUUCUUCUCCAGAGCCUCUAGAUGAGGACGCAGGCUGGCCAGCUUGGUGAUCUUAGGCUUGUGAUACUCUGAACGGAGAACCCAGUCGCAUUGUGCUGAACUUCCGAAAUACAGAACUGUGGCAUAAUAAACGGGUAUUGUUUUAAGGGGCCAAAUUUAUGGUAAUUUGUUGUAUAGCAAUAGAAAACUAAUAAACUGCCACUCACAAAUGUUGAUUGAAUGCUUAUUAUGUGCAAGACAAUAAUUUUUAUUUCAGAUCAUUUUAUUUUGUGUCUGUGUCUAGGAGGGUUAGUUAAAAAAAAUUCCCCAGACUUGCUGU